rnacentral:rRNA from 1 species
GAUGAACGCUGGCGGCGUGCCUAAUACAUGCAAGUCGAACGCUGGAACUCUAGCUUGCUAGAUUGAAGGAGUGGCGAACGGGUGAGUAAUACAUAAGCAACCUACCCACGAAGACUGGGAUAAUCUCUGGAAACGGGGACUAAUACCGGUUAGGUAAUCGGAAGGCAUCUUCUGAUUAUUAAAGGUUAAAAACACUGGUGGAUGGGCUUAUGGCGCAUUAGUUAGUUGGUGAGGUAACGGCCCACCAAGACGAUGAUGCGUAGCCGGCCUGAGAGGGUGAACGGCCACAUUGUGACUGGGACACGGCCCAGACGCCUACGGGAGGCAGCAGUAGGGGAUUUUCGGCAAUGGGGGAAACCCUGACCGAGCGACGCCGCGUGAGUGAUGACGGCCUUCGGGUUGUAAAGCUCUGGUGUAAGGGAAGAACGGUAGAUAGAGAAUAUCUAAAUGACGGUACCUUACCAGAAAGCCACGGCUAACUACGUG